rnacentral:tRNA from 1 species
GCCCAAGUGGCGGAAUGGCAGACGCGGUGGACUCAAAAUCCAUUGUCGCAAGACGUGUGGGUUCGAGUCCCACCUUGGGCACCA